rnacentral:rRNA from 1 species
AGAGUUUGAUCAUGGCUCAGGAUGAACGCUAGCUACAGGCUUAACACAUGCAAGUCGAGGGGAAACGACAUCGAAAGCUUGCUUUUGAUGGGCGUCGACCGGCGCACGGGUGAGUAACGCGUAUCCAACCUGCCCACCACUUGAGGAUAACCUUGCGAAAGUAAGACUAAUACCCAAUGACGUCUCUAGAAGACAUCUGAAGGAGAUUAAAGAUUUAUCGGUGAUGGAUGGGGAUGCGUCUGAUUAGCUUGUUGGCGGGGUAACGGCCACCAAGGCGACGAUCAGUAGGGGUUCUGAGACGGAAGGUCCCCCANAUUGGAACUGAGACACGGUCCAAACUCCUACGGGAGGCA